GAUGAACGCUGGCGGCGUGCCUAAUACAUGCAAGUCGAGCGAACAGACGAGGAGCUUGCUCCUCUGACGUUAGCGGCGGACGGGUGAGUAACACGUGGAUAACCUACCUAUAAGACUGGGAUAACUUCGGGAAACCGGAGCUAAUACCGGAUAAUAUAUUGAACCGCAUGGUUCAAUAGUGAAAGACGGUUUUGCUGUCACUUAUAGAUGGAUCCGCGCCGCAUUAGCUAGUUGGUAAGGUAACGGCUUACCAAGGCGACGAUGCGUAGCCGACCUGAGAGGGUGAUCGGCCACACUGGAACUGAGACACGGCCCAGACUCUUACGGGAGGCAGCAGUCGGGAAUCUUCCGCAAUGGGGGAGAGCCUGACGGAGCAACGCCGCGUGAGUGAUGAAGGUCUUCGGAUCGUAAAACUCUGUUAUUAGGGAAGAACAAAUGUGUAAGUAACUAUGCACGUCUUGACGGUACCUAAUCAGAAAGCCCCGGCUAACUACGUG
rnacentral:rRNA from 1 species